rnacentral:rRNA from 1 species
AUUGAACGCUGGCGGCAGGCCUAACACAUGCAAGUCGGACGGUAGCACAGAGAGCUUGCUCUUGGGUGACGAGUGGCGGACGGGUGAGUAAUGUCUGGGGAUCUGCCCGAUAGAGGGGGAUAACCACUGGAAGCGGUGGCUAAUACCGCAUAACGUCGCAAGACCAAAGAGGGGGACCUUCGGGCCUCUCACUAUCGGAUGAACCCAGAUGGGAUUAGCUAGUAGGCGGGGUAAUGGCCCACCUAGGCGACGAUCCCUAGCUGGUCUGAGAGGAUGACCAGCCACACUGGAACUGAGACACGGUCCAGACUCCUACGGGAGGCAGCAGUGGGGAAUAUUGCACAGUGGGCGCAAGCCUGAUGCAGCCAUGCCGCGUGUAUGAAGAAGGCCUUCGGGUUGUAAAGUACUUUCAGCGGGGAGGAAGGCGAUGUGGUUAAUAACCGCGUCGAUUGACGUUACCCGCAGAAGAAGCACCGGCUAACUCCGUGCCAGCAGCCGCCGCGG